CUGCGUUGUCGUGGACUGCAAACAUUUUGUUGGGGUUGACUUUACUGCUGCCAAGGGAAUCAAAGGUCUUUGCAUGGACUAUGAAAAGCGUCACCAGGACCCGAUAUUCAUCAACGUCACACCAGGGGUUGAGCGGGGCUCAGAUCAGUCUGCGAUAAUCUCACCAUCGUCACAUCACAGUUCGAGCUACACAACUCUUUAAAA